rnacentral:lncRNA from 1 species
GUUAAGCGAGGAAAAUAUCGAUUUUCAGUUGUUAAAAAUUAGAAGAUACAACUUUGCUUGCAUUUAAGGCACUCCUUUUUCUUCUGAUAGCGCCUCCACAGAAGGGCAAGAAGAGUCCAAGAAUGGAUCUUGAUGCAAUUUUGGCUUUAUUUUAUAGAGAAAUGGAUGUACACCUCAGUCUUGAAAGCUCCCUUGAUUUAUUGAAGAAGGAGAAAGUUUUUCAACCGAUUUUAUUCAA